GAUGAAGAACGUAGCGAAAUGCGAUAAGUAGUGUGAAUUGCAGAAUUCAGUGAAUCAUCGAAUCUUUGAACGCACAUUGCGCCCCUUGGUAUCCCGAGGGGCAUGCCUGUUCGAGCGUCAUUUCACCACUCAAGCCUGGCUUGGUGUUGGGCGACGUCCUCUUUGGGGACGCGCCUCGAAACGCUCGGCGGCGUGGCACCGGCUUUAAGCGUAGCAGAAUCUUUCGCUUUGGAAGUCGGGGCCCCGUCUGCCGGAAGACCUGCUCGCAAGGUUGACCUCGGAUCAGGCAGGGAUACCCGCUGAACUUGAGCAUAUCAAUAAGCGGAGGA
rnacentral:misc_RNA from 1 species